UUCUGCAGCCAUAUCACCCUGCAGCCCAAGACUGGUUGCCCACUGAAGCUAAGCAGGUUUGAGCCUGGUCAGUACCUGGAUGGGAGACCUCCUGGGGAAACUAGGUUACUGUUGGAA
rnacentral:rRNA from 1 species